rnacentral:rRNA from 1 species
GUGCCAGCAGCCGCGGUAAAACGUAGGAGGCGAGCGUUAUCCGGAUUUACUGGGUGUAAAGCGCGUGCAGGCGGCUUUGUAAGGGGUGUGUGAAAGCGCCCGGCUUAACCGGGCGAGGCCGCACCCGACUGCAGAGCUGGAGGGCGGUAGAGGCGUGUGGAAUUCCGGGUGUAGUGGUGAAAUGCGUAGAGAUCCGGAGGAACACCAGAGGCGAAGGCGACACGCUGGGCCGACCCUGACGCUCAGACGCGAAAGCAUGGGGAGCGAACGGGAUUAGAAACCCCCGUAGUCC